GGUGUCAGUACGUGUCUGUUUAAUGAAUGAAGAUGUUUAGAAGGUGUAGGGCCUGGGCGUUGCUUGCUCAGCAGAAACCCCCAGGCCCAUUGUAACCAUGUGUCCUUCUGGCUCCCUUCUGGGCAGGCCGCCCAGCUACUGGGAUUUGCAACGAUCUGGGCCUGGCCAGCCCCCAUUCCCCCUUAUCCCACGAGAAGAACAUCCUGUCUUACGGGGACACAGAGCUCCUCCAUGUGAGCUACUGUUCCUGGAACGCUAGUCGUACCAAGGACAGCCCUUUGGCAGGCAUGCAGCCUUCCUUCCUCUGCCUGCUUAAGCAAGCUUCUCUUAGGGGGCUGUUGCGGGCGUAUGCAUACUUCCAUCCAGCCGGCUGCCCACUGGACACUCUCCCUACAAGGAGGUGGCAACAGAAGGAAGCCUAGAGCUGUACUCAGGUCUUGCUCUGCAAGCACAGAAGAAGGCAGCCAUCCAUCAGAAGAAGCGCGGGGACACGCUGCACGAGACCAUCCCUUUGGUAAGAAGAGAAAAGAAGGAAGGCAGCCUGUGGUGGAUGUGGCGUGGGAAAGCGAGCAGGACGGGGGGCUGGAGAGAACGGAUGGAUGGAAUCCGCAUCCGCAGGGCACCUGCCGCCCCCCCCCUUUUCUCCACUCACUCCCGUUCCCUGAUGAUCACAUCCCACACUCUCCAUUGGCUUCAGCCCAGACCUCUCUCUUCUGAGCUCCAGACACUCAUGGCCAACUUCUUACUGGACAGUUCUACCUGAUGUCCUGCCAUCGUCCUUCACACUUGGCGUGUCUAAAACUGAAAGACUAAGAGUAAACUCCUUGUUUCCCUGUGUCCCUACUUCCAUUCCUGCUCUUCUUCCCGUGUUCCUGGGAACGGUGUCUCCACCCCUCCAACCUGUUGGAUCCGUCUCCUUACUAUCUCCACUGUCUCCCCAUUUUCUUCCCCACUGCCAGUGGCUUGGUUCAGGCCCUCAUUAUUGUUCACCUGCAUUGCCACAAUACCCUCCUUUGUGACCAGAUGUCCCUGCGCCCAGUCCUGCCCCUGUCAACCAUCCUUGGCACAGUGAUCUUGCUACAGCCCUGCUGUUGGGGGUGUGACUCCUGGACCGGCAGCACCCGCAUCACCUGGGAGCUUGUUAGAAAUGCAGAAUCUCGGGACCCAGAUUCUCUGCCAGUGAGGAUCCAUCUGAAGACAGAAACACCGAUAAUUUGAACAAUUCGAUUCCCUUUAUAUGACAUACAUGCUGUAUGUAACUUUUUGAGACUUGAGUUUUCUGCUCAGUAUAACACCUUUGUGAUUCAUUCAUGUUGUUUCCUGAGUAGGUUUCCAUUGUAUGGAUCCAUACAAUUUAUUUGUCCAUUUACUCAUUUGUUAUAUUAAAAUUGCUUUAUUCAAGUAUAGUCUUAAUGGACUGUAUGUAAAUUUAAAAAAUAAUUAAUAAACAAACAGUAAUGAGUUAUAA
rnacentral:lncRNA from 1 species